rnacentral:lncRNA from 1 species
ACUUAUAUUUCUAAAUUAAAAAUAAAAUUAUUUAUUUCAUAUUACAUUCAAAAUUAAACGAGUUAAAAUAUAUAUUAUAUAUAUUUAUUUUAAUUUGACAUAAAUUCUACGCAUUUACGACUUAAAUCUACAUUUCGAUUUUACUAAGCCAAAACAAAUUACGUAAAAACUAGAUAUUGAAAACCUUGUGGAAUAUUGGUUACAAUAAUGAGACUUGGAAAGUCUGAGCAAGUGCUUACUCAAGACCAACCAACCACUAUAGAAAGAUACUGACAACCUUGUUCCUUUGAAUCAAACUACAAAUCAAACGACAACCCCUUCCUGUAAGCUAAACAAAGUUCUGAAGGUUCACCAGCCAGAGCCGCCACAGUCAGUUUCCAGACCAUCCAAUGUCAGCAGCCUUCUUGGAACC